UACGGAGGGGGCUAGCGUUGUUCGGAAUUAUUGGGCGUAAAGGGCGCGUAGGCGGCCGAAUAAGUCUGACGUGAAAUCCCACGGCCCAACCGUGGAACUGCGUUUGAUACUGUUCGGCUCGAGUCCGGGAGAGGGUAGCGGAAUUCCCAGUGUAGCGGUGAAAUGCGUAGAUAUUGGGAGGAACACCGGUGGCGAAGGCGGCUACCUGGACCGGUACUGACGCUGAGGCGCGAAAGCUAGGGUAGCAAACAG
rnacentral:rRNA from 1 species